rnacentral:rRNA from 1 species
AUUGAACGCUGGCGGCAUGCCUAACACAUGCAAGUCGAACGGAGAUUACGGACGGAAGUUUUCGGAUGGAAGACUGUAAUUCUUAGUGGCGGACGGGUGAGUAACGCGUGGGCAACCUGCCCUAUACAGGGGGAUAGCAGCUGGAAACGGCUGGUAAGACCGCAUAAGUCGGCGAGACCGCAUGGUUUUGCCGGGAAAUGAGCAAUCAGGUAUAGGAUGGGCCCGCGUCCGAUUAGCCAGUUGGCAGGGUAAAAGCCUACCAAAGCAACGAUCGGUAGCCGGACUGAGAGGUCGGACGGCCACAUUGGGACUGAGACACGGCCCAAACUCCUACGGGAGGCAGCAGUGGGGGAUAUUGCACAAUGGAGGAAACUCUGAUGCAGCGACGCCGCGUGAGUGAAGAAGUAUUUCGGUAUGUAAAGCUCUAUCAGCAGGGAAGAUGAUGACGGUACCUGACUAAGAAGCCCCGGCUAACUACGUG